rnacentral:misc_RNA from 1 species
GUACAUGGGUGGCUCACAGAAGGUGAGGUUCAUUAUUUAUAUCAUUCAUGAUUCUUAUUUUAGAAAUUGAAUUUGAUUGCUGGAGUAAGGAGUAAAGACACAAAUUAAAGGCCUAUAGCCUUUCGUAUGGGAACUUUUGUCAGUAUCUUUACAUUAACACCACCACCUGCAAACCUCCUUCCCAAGCAGCAAAAGGAAAACUGUAACAAGUAAAAUAAGUUAACUAAUUAAAAGUGGAGGAGAGGGGGGAGUUUAUCUUUGCAUAAAGCUGUGAAUAGAUUAUUGAUUUGGAUGUCUUGAUCUUUGUUGAGCUGAACAGCACGCUGAAAGAGAAAGUUGUCCUGCCUCCUCCUUCUCUCUUCUUUUUUUAAAACACUGUUUCCUCAACUUGAUCUCAUGACUUCCUGGUCAUGGAGGAGCAAUCUUACCCUUGCACCAAGGCUGGCCCUCAAUUGGGCAGCUGGCUGACAGUUACAAAUUGAAGCAGCUCAUUUUAAGGGGUGACAGACAAAGUCAAUCUAUAUAGCAUUAGUAUAUGCUCAAACAUAGCUAGGAGGAUCAAAAUCUUAAUUUAAAGCCAUUAAAAUGUGUAGUUUUUUUAUUGCUUGAUUUAUCUUUUACUUAAUUACCUUGCAGGGGCAUGCGUACUGGUCUUUCGUUUAUUUUACUAGUUGACUGGGGAAAAUAAAAGUGAUUUGCUAUGAAGGUUUUAGUUUGGUUUGUUGAUGUGUUAUCUUUCAUAUGGACUCAUCAGGUUUGGAGGGAAAAAAAUGUUA